rnacentral:lncRNA from 1 species
GCUAUACAGAUGCAGGUGGAAACUACUGGUGUGAAGUUAUCCUGUGAACAAAUAAAGUUGACUUCCUAAAAUUUCCCUGUUCAAAUAGUUGUUGACAUAUCCUUGAAGAUUUUUAAAAGAAUGAUCUAUAAACACCGCACUUCAGAGUUAUGUUUGCAAAGCCAUCUAUUAUGUUUACAAAGAAGAUCUUGAGGUAGGAAUCUCUGGGUUCUGCAGGUGCUGCGUGAACCCCAGCAGGGCCAUUCCAGAUGCUCCACAGGACAGCGCUGAACGCACCGCAGUGAGCCUGGGAGGCCCUGGGCUACUGCUGCCUCCCCUUCUCUGGGCUGAACAUCAAGAAACCUCAAACCUGAGACAUGGUGGGAAAUCAGGAAGACAUGAGGCUUUGCUCAACACUGGAGAACACCAGUUCUUUUCAGUUUGUAUGCAUCUUUAUCAGGAAGAUGAUCAUUCAAGAGGUCUGAAGGAGGACUUGUGUUGGAGCCUAAGGAUUAAGCACCAGAAUCCACCAGGUUGAAGUGGUCAGAAAUCUUCAGUUGGGC